rnacentral:rRNA from 1 species
AGCAGCCGCGGUAAUUCCAGCUCCAAUAGCGUAUAUUAAAGUUGUUGCAGUUAAAAAGCUCGUAGUUGAAUUUCGGGGUUAGUAGGUUGGUCAUGCCUCUGGUAUGUACUGGUCUCACUGAUUCCUCCUUCCUGAUGAGCCGUAAUGCCAUUAAUUUGGUGUUGCGGGGAAUUUGGACUGUUACUUUGAAAAAAUUUAGAGUGUUUAAAGCAGGCAUUAGCUUGAAUACAUUAGCAUGGAAUAAUGAAAUAGGACGUUUGAUCCUAUUUUGUUGGUUUCUAGGAUCGACGUAAUGAUUAAUAGGGAUAGUUGGGGGCAUUAGUAUUCAAUUGUCAGAGGUGAAAUUCUUGGAUUUAUUGAAGACUAACUACUGCGAAAGCAUUUGCCAAGGAUGUUUUCAUUAAUCAAGAACGAAAGUUAGGGGAUCGAAGACGAUCAGAUACCGUCGUAGUCUUAACCAUAAACUAUGCCGACUAGGGAUCGGAUGAUGUUAAUUUUUUUAAUGACUCAUUCGGCGCCU